rnacentral:rRNA from 1 species
GAACGAACUCUUCGGAGUUAGUGGCGGACGGGUGAGUAACACGUGGGAACGUGCCUUUAGGUUCGGAAUAACUCAGGGAAACUUGUGCUAAUACCGAAUGUGCCCUUCGGGGGAAAGAUUUAUCGCCUUUAGAGCGGCCCGCGUCUGAUUAGCUAGUUGGUGAGGUAAAGGCUCACCAAGGCGACGAUCAGUAGCUGGUCUGAGAGGAUGAUCAGCCACAUUGGGACUGAGACACGGCCCAAACUCCUACGGGAGGCAGCAGUGGGGAAUCUUGCGCAAUGGGCGAAAGCCUGACGCAGCCAUGCCGCGUGAAUGAUGAAGGUCUUAGGAUUGUAAAAUUCUUUCAGUAGGGACGAUAAUGACGGUACCUACAGAAGAAGCCCCGGCUAACUUCGUGCCAGCAGCCGC